UGACGGUUUCUUGAAAUUGUGUAUGCCCUUGAUAUCGCUCUUGAUAUCGUGUAGGUGGUUGUGAUACCUCCUCGUGAGCUGUGUCAUUCUCGGAUUCAUCAUUUGAUGGGGAGAUGGCGUGACGUCUGGGAAAUGCUGCGGUAGCUAGCACACCACCCUCUCACAAUACUCUACCGAAUACUUCAUGGGAGGAGGGAAGCAAGCCAAAGCACCCUCAGGAGGCAAACCUGUAAAAAGCCAUAACAACAUGAAAAAUAUUCACAGGGUGGAGUGAAAGCACUUACGGAGAGGAUUGGGUCUCUUGAUGUAAACAGGAGCAGAUGGAAUACCUGAAACACAUCAAAAGUAAUUGUCAAACCCCUAACAGUAGCCUCGAUUCAAGGCCGCUUUAGAAGCGGCCUGGUAUACCUUGUAUGCGCAUGCGCUUACAUUACCCCAAAAAGGGGGUAAUCCGUGUAUUUGUGGAUACUGUCAGUAAAAUAAACACGUAUACUAUUUUGUAUUCUAAUUUUAGUGGUCCGUGUUACACACUUUACAUAUAGCAAAGAUGACUAGCUCGACUGACACUGAGUUCUCUUCCGCUCUGGCUUAUGCCCUUUCUUGUGUGAAGAGAAGUCAUUUAGUUCUGAGGGAUAAACAGCUUGAUACUCUACGGAUGCUGUACGAAGGGAAUGAUGUUUUCCUGUGGGUUCCUACUGGAUAUGAAAGUCUAUCUGCUACCAAACUUUGCCUUUUUUAUUCGACAAGAAGCUGGAUAGAAUUAGUUCUCCUCCUAGUGAGCGUAGUAUUGUCCCCUAGUGUCUCUAAUGGUAGAUCAAGUGACUAGUCUACAUGAUCGUGGUGUUCCUGCUGGUAUACUCAGUGGAAACAAAGGGGUCGAUAAGAAGUCCAAGUGAGUGCUUCACCUACCCCCAGAAUACUCAUAAGGCAGUGCCAGUCCUCUAUACAAGGCUCUAACUGCUCCAAUCGUCCACUGCGAGUGUCCGCAUCUCGCAUAUGUUUUUUGCUACAUCGCUGUCUUUCACAAGUCAUCUGAUCGCCACCUGACAUAACAAACAUCAAGGACUACAACCUCAGAUUUUUUGGCCAUCUCUGUGCUGUGGGGGUGCUUAAUGUGACUGACAACACACCGUUUGUACCGCUGGAGGGGCUUGAUGUACUCGCACAGUAUUCAACCGACUAGAACGACCAAAUUUUCUUGGAUGCCCUCAAUGUCGGCCUUUGUAGGAAGGAAGCAUCGAUAAGACGUUGGUACAGCUUGCUGAUUUUCGUGACCAACUUCAACACGGCACAGUAACUGAUAGUGACACUAAGAUGAUUCAGCCUGGAGUAUACCUUUGAAGAGUACGAGAGACAGAAACGACUGAAUACCACACAUUCUUGUGUUACGCUCUUUCAAGAGAAUUGCUGUGGCCAUACACAUCCCAGGGUAGUGACUCUCUCCGCGUUUAUGCAAGUUCCUAUGAUCUGAACGUCCUACGAUCGUCUGGAUAAGCCUAAAUAGAAUCGGAGACUUUCGCUGUAGUUCAGACACAGCCUGUUUCCACGAUAACGCUUCCACAUUGUCAAUUGGAACCCGGUGAAAUAGAGAGACAAACUCCCCAGAGUUACGACAUUCGUCGUCAAGAAUUUUCACCACACCCUCUACCAAUUGGUCCUUCAGUGAAGAGCAAGAAAAUGCUGCCUUGGCAAUAGACUGAAUGUUGCCACUAUUCAGUGCCUGGCGUAAUUUCUGGAGACUUUCAUCUACUUCCGCAGUCACUGUACUGGGUGGUUUAACAUACCGUCAACAGAAGAAAACUGCUCGAGAUUGGUCAACUCUAACAGCGGUGGCUGACGAGGACAGUCUGUGUGCGCUAUGAAAAAGAGAUGAUUCCUGUCAUCUACAUAUAUGAUUUGUUGCAAUCAACCUACGUUCCUCCCUGGUUGAGAAAGCAAGCCUUCUUCCAGGUGCUCCUACUGUCAGACGUUUUGCUAGAGGUCUAGCAUGGACUGUGUGAGGUGAUGCUUCAAGCCCACUGGUGUCUUUAGUUCUCUUCCUACCUGAUACCAUAGGACUACAGAUGGAAGCCUUAUUUCGACCCUGCUCAAAACCACACUUAGCCAUACUUCUAAAGGCUUUAAGUUUAGACUCCAGAGACUGGAAUUUGUUUGUGCAAGCUCUACAAAUGUAUGAAGAUAUAUAGCCCAUCACACUCACUAACUGGCAGCUCUAGCAGUUUGCCAAGUCUGUCUGGAAGGCAUCUUUGAACAGACUCUUUGCUGAACAGAGCUGAGCAGCGAGUAGAAGUAACAAUGUUGCAGCACAAUCUGCAUAUUCUGGUGGCUGCCAUUGUCUUGAACAUUCUACCACCAACCACGCAGUCUUACGUAUUUUUCCUUUGUGUACUUUGUCCGAUUUUAUCACUUGCGUAAUACUGAUAAAUA